rnacentral:rRNA from 1 species
AGCAGCCGCGGUAAUUCCAGCUCCAAUAGCGUAUAUUAAAGUUGUUGCAGUUAAAAAGCUCGUAGUUGAAUUUUGGGUCUGGCCGGGCGGUCCGCCCUCCGGGUGAGCACUGUUCCGACGCCGGGCCUAUCCUUCUGGUGAGUCGGCAUGUCCUUUGUUGGGUGUGUCGGGGAACCAGGACCAUUACCUUGAAAAAUUAGAGUGUUCAAAGCAGGCGUAUGCUCGGAUACAUUAGCAUGGAAUAAUGAAAUAGGACGCGUGGUGCUAUUUUGUUGGUUUCUAGAACCGCCGUAAUGAUUAAUAGGGAUAGUUGGGGGCAUUAGUAUUCAAUUGUCAGAGGUGAAAUUCUUGGAUUUAUUGAAGACUAACUUCUGCGAAAGCAUUUGCCAAGGAUGUUUUCAUUAAUCAAGAACGAAAGUUAGGGGAUCGAAGACGAUCAGAUACCGUCGUAGUCUUAACCAUAAACUAUGCCGACUAGGAAUCGGGCGAUGUUAUUCUCAUGACUCGCCCGGCGU